CAACUCUAAACUACUCUCUAAUAAAUGCUCUAGGUUUCGGUUGAUGUGACGCAAUAAUGUGUUCGUCCUUGAGACGCAGUUUUCGAUGUAAUAAAUUUACGAUGACGUGGCCACCUCCUAUUCAAAACUGCAAUGCACUUCCGUCUGUCUGAUCCAUGUGCUGUGUCAUCAAGGGUAGACUGAAUUACUAAAAUCGACUAAAUAAUUCAGUCGGAACUAGAAUUGAAUACUGCUGGAUUGUCGUCGCUAAAUUAAUAAUAAUUAGACCACUCUGUACUCUGUAGUGAUCCAUACACGGAUGGGCAACCUAGUCUGGAGCUUGUGCUUGUGUGGGUGUAGUUGCUAGAAUAAUAAUAACAACGAGACGAAGGACAGAACCAGUCACCAUGUCCGUCACGGCAUUUCACUGCUCUGCUGUGUUCUAUCCUGUCAAAAGGUGAGUUAUUUGUCAGUUGAAUAUUGAUGACCUGAAAUUACAUAUACAGAAGCCCAAUUUGGUAAGCUGAUGACUUUAUCAAAAUACGUCUUGGAACGUGAGUCUGGUUUGUAUGUUUGUGAUUUUUAUCACUAUCAUCUCGAUUUUUCCAAUUUAAUUAAACUUCAAUAAUUAUGAAAAACAAAACUAAAAUGUAUAUGCAUUCUAGUAAUAAAUUGUGAAUUCUUAUCUAAAUUUUAAAAUUAAUAAGGAACGUGACCUAUUUGUCAUUUAAUUCGAGAAAACUUCAAUUUAGGAUGAAGUAGUUGAUACUACAAAAAAAUCUCAAUCCAAGAACUCCCCUGCAAAUUUUCAAUUUUAUUCUCCACUGUUAAUUUUCUAUGUAUUAUUUUUCUUGUUUUGAAUUCUAUCUCGACCAGUUAUAGUAAAACUAUCAACAGUGACUGAUGUUUUCGGUUUGGUAUCGUUUCCCCUCGCGAAGCCAUACUCAUGUUUUAGGGUCUGCGAGGCGAGAUAACUUUGAAAAAGGAGUGUUGGAUUUCAAGUGAAGAUUAGGCUAAAGUUUUGUACAGCAGUUGCAUGCUUCUUUUCAAACUCCUCAACUCAUUGAAUCUAUUCAAUUUUGAGAAUAUUCCUUCAUGUUCUAUGUCAAUUAUCAUCUUUGUUUUUUAUGAAUUAUCAUCUUGCCCUUGGAAAAUUAUUAACUUUCAUGCUAUUUAAAAAACGAGUAAGUACCA